rnacentral:piRNA from 1 species
GACACAGAUGCCCAGAUAGUGGAACGCCA